GCGCUUCGUAGUGAACAUGUGUUCUGCUGUUCCGCUACAAAUCACACAGUAGAAUAGCGCUUUAGUUGCGGCUAUCACUCUAUUUUUGACUUUUUUGGACAAGAAAAGUAAUUUUCACUACAAGAUGUGCUAAAAGUCUGUAUGAUUUCAUUGCUAGAUGUGGCUUCAAAAUGGUUGCGAGAUUCACCUGAUAAUGAUUACGAUAUGAAGAGAAGAGUUAACUGAAGGAUACAAGAAACUAAUGUCUUAAACAACAUUCAACCACAAUGAAAAAUAUAUUUUAUAUUAUAUAAUGAUAAAAAAUGAAGUCAUUGCUCUGUGACGCCAUCUACUGUAAACUGUGAACCCAUCUGCUAGAUGCCGAAAUGCUUUUCAGAUUUAUUUUAACGUAAUCAAAGUAUUAGAAAGGGGUCAGUAAUGUCAACAUAUAGACAGUAUUUUUAAUACAGUAAUUCAAAUACAUACUGUAAUUGAUUGAUGAAUUAGAUAGGCUUAUGAUAUAUGUAUUAAUAAAUUUAUGCUGUAUGCUGGCAAAGAAUGGUAAA